rnacentral:rRNA from 1 species
AGAUAUUAUAGUUUUAAAUUUAUUUAUGGACCCUAUAAGAACUCCCUAGUUAAGGGUGUUUAUGCUAGAGUAGUAUAGGCAUGGAUGACCUCUUGGGAAGUCCUAAUGUUGCAUCCU